GAUGAACGCUGGCGGCGUGCCUAAUACAUGCAAGUCGAGCGAACGGACGAGAAGCUUGCUUUUCUGAUGUUAGCGGCGGACGGGUGAGUAACACGUGGAUAACCUACCUAUAAGACUGGGAUAACUUCGGGAAACCGGAGCUAAUACCGGAUAAUAUUUUGAACCGCAUGGUUCAAAAGUGAAAGACGGUCUUGCUGUCACUUAUAGAUGGAUCCGCGCUGCAUUAGCUAGUUGGUAAGGUAACGGCUUACCAAGGCAACGAUCCAUAGCCGACCUGAGAGGGUGAUCGGCCACACUGGAACUGAGACACGGUCCAGACUCCUACGGGAGGCAGCAGUAGGGAAUCUUCCGCAAUGGGCGAAAGCCUGACGGAGCAACGCCGCGUGAGUGAUGAAGGUCUUCGGAUCGUAAAACUCUGUUAUUAGGGAAGAACAUAUGUGUAAGUAACUGUGCACAUCUUGACGGUACCUAAUCAGAAAGCCACGGCUAACUACGUG
rnacentral:rRNA from 1 species